rnacentral:rRNA from 1 species
AGAGUUUGAUCCUGGCUCAGGAUGAACGCUAGCGGCAGGCUUAACACAUGCAAGUCGAGGGGUAUAGGUUUUAGGACCUAGAGACCGGCGCACGGGUGCGUAACGCGUAUGCAAUCUACCUUUUGCAGAGGGAUAGCCCAGAGAAAUUUGGAUUAAUACCUCAUAGUAUUAUAGGAUGGCAUCAUUUUAUAAUUAAAGUCACAACGGCAAAAGAUGAGCAUGCGUCCCAUUAGCUUGUUGGUAAGGUAACGGCUUACCAAGGCUACGAUGGGUAGGGGUCCUGAGAGGGAGAUCCCCCACACUGGUACUGAGACACGGACCAGACUCCUACGGGAGGCAGCAGUGAGGAAUAUUGGUCAAUGGACGCAAGUCUGAACCAGCCAUGCCGCGUGCAGGAUGACGGUCCUAUGGAUUGUAAACUGCUUUUGUACAGGAAGAAACACUCCUUCGUGAAGGAACUUGACGGUACUGUAAGAAUAAGGAUCGGCUAACUCCGUGCCAGCAGCCGCGGUAAUACGGAGGAUCCAAGCGUUAUCCGGAAUCAUUGGGUUUAAAGGGUCCGUAGGCGGUUUAGUAAGUCAGUGGUGAAAGCCCAUCGCUCAACGGUGGAACGGCCAUUGAUACUGCUAGACUUGAAUUACUAGGAAGUAACUAGAAUAUGUAGUGUAGCGGUGAAAUGCUUAGAGAUUACAUGGAAUACCAAUUGCGAAGGCAGGUUACUACUAGUUUAUUGACGCUGAUGGACGAAAGCGUGGGUAGCGAACAGGAUUAGAUACCCUGGUAGUCC